UUUUUUUUUUUUUUCUUUCCAAAUGAAGUCUUGCUCUGUUGUCCAGGCUGGAGUGCAGUGGUGCGAUCUCAGCUUACUGCAACCUCCGCCUCUUGGGUUCAAGUGAUUCUCCUGCCUCAGCCUCCCGAGUGGCUGGGACUACAGGCGCUUGCCACCACGCCCAGUUAAUUUUUUGUAUUUUUAGUAGAGACGGGGUUUUACCUGUGUUAGCCAGGAUGGUCUCAAUUUCCUGAUCUUGUGAUCCGUGUGCCUUGGCUUCCCAAAGUGCUGGGAUUACAGGAGUGAGCCACUGCGCCCAGCUGGGUUUCACUUCUGAAAUUAAAUUUGCAUGACUUAUGAACCAACAAGAGCAAAUAACUAAUAUCUUAUUGAAAAAACCUCCUCUGGGCCAGGUGAUUUAUAUACAUUUUCCUAGUGAACCAUCACCAUAGUCCUGUGAGAUACUAUUUUUCCCAUUUCACAGGUGAGAAUGUUGAGGAAACCGAGGCCUUGCCGGGGUCAGUCAGCACAGAAGAAGAGUGGCGGGCAGGAUUUGGAUCUGGCUCUGAUGCCUCAGCCUGUGCUCUUGCAUUCCACUGGACUGCCAACAGAUAUCAUUUAGGAAAGCCCAUCCAUGGCCUGGGGUCUAUGUGUCUGGCAGGCCAUGGCGGUUACAGGGUAGAACUGCGGUUUUGCAGGGAAUUGAUGGAGGCCCAGCCUCAUCUGCAGGAGGUGCUGGUGGAAGGCCCACUGCUCCCACAGUGGAGAGGCUCCUGGGAGGAAGGACCCAGGGCCAGAGCAUUCCAUGGAGGGCCUGAAGACCCCUCCACCUCAGCUAGCUUCUGCCUCAAUCUCGGCCAGCCUGGGUGGCAGCCACAGAAACCCGGGCCUGUCUGCGGCCCCUCAGCCUGGCGGCCCUGGGGAUGCUGUGUUGCAAAACCACACUGUCUUGUUUUGACUUUCUCUUGGUUUCCCAGAAAACUUAUUUACAGAAGUAAGAAUGCUUUAUAACUUUAAAGUCUUCUUUUAUUAUGGUAAAAUAUACAUAACACACAUUCUACCAUUUUAACCAUUUUUAAGUAUACAAUUCCAUGGCAGUAAUUCCCAAUGAGUACAUUCACAGUGUUGCACAGCCAUUCAUUUCCAGAACUUUUUUCAUCAUCUCAGGCAGAAACUCUGUAUCCAUUAAAUAAUACCUCCCCAUUCUCCCUCCCCGCGGCCCCUGUUUACCACCAUUCCACUUUCUGACUAUGAAUUUGACUGCUCUAGGUACCUCAC
rnacentral:lncRNA from 1 species